AGCUUCCUCAGGUGAGGAAGGAUGGGUCUCAAAGUCCAGGGGCUGCGUUUCUGACCACCAGCCCAUGAGGCUGCAGCGCUGCUGGCACUUGUUUCCCCUGCAAGAAGUGGCUGAGGAAGCCAGCUGUUGUGUUUGCUUUCAAACAAGGAGCCGGUGUUUGCCUUCCAGAUUGUGUGGCUCUGAUGGAGCUGCUCAGGCAACUCUCAGCUGUCCCUACAAAUCGCCACCUUCCCUUCCUCAUGAAGGAAAAUUCGCGAUUUGUAAGGACAUCUGAGAGCAUCUUAGCUCUUCUUUGUAUUUAUGAACACCCACUUGCACUCCUUUUAUUUGCCCUCCUUUAUUUCUUUAUUUAUUUUUGCAUGUCCUGAGUAUUUUCCCUUUACCUUCUGGCUUCCCUGCCCCCAAAUUCAGGAGUCACUGCAGCUCUUGCUGCACUAUAGGAAACGGAGGCUUCCCAGGUAGUUUUUUAUUGACGUGGGGCACAAACCCAAGUCCAGCUGAAAACCUCCCACCUGGAGGUCAGAUAAUGCAAAGGGUUGGGGUGGAGGGGAAGGGACGGAGCCCAGCUCCUCCAGCCACUUGUUUUUCCCCUUUUCUGCUUGGUUUCUGCUGCUGGGAACCCGAUGCAUUUCCUGUAACUGCACAACUCGGCACCUGAAGCAUCCAGCCGGGAACCCCGGGGGGAUUUCUGCUGUCUGUGGGCUAGGAUGGAUCUUAAGCUGUACCAGGCAGCUUCCUAAAGCUGUCAGAGUCUUGGCUCAAGCCCUGGGUAACGUCUAAGGAGGCUUUAUUAAGCCUGGGUCUUUGUCUCAGCACCCACCCCUUCCAGCUCAGAUUCGUCCUUGAAGGUGAGCUGUUUCGGUUUUGCUGUUUGCUAAUGUGACCCAGGAACAUUUCCAACCCCUCCAUCUCCUCUCAACAGAGCUGGGUAAACAGCUGAGGCUGCCUUCAGGGCAUGGCUGUUUGGCUUCGCAUCCCUUGUACUUCCAGCACAGGGACAAUGAAAGGAAAAAUAUUAACUCAGCAGCUCUCCCUCGAGGUGCAGGGGCCCUAUUUUGACUUGGCAGCCUGUGGGCAGGAAGGUGUUGCUGGGGCACAUUCCUCAGCAAGGCGGAGGGGUCGUGUCCCCAGGGGAUGUGGCUUCAUCCGAGUCGAAGUUCGCUGGAGGCUGCACCAGCAAAUCCCCUCCUGAUGGGAUUUCCUCCUGCUGUGCACUGCAGCCCUCGCUGCUGGAACCAGGAUACAUCAAGACAGCAAGGGAGGAUGCUUGGUGGCAGCGCAGCUAUUGCACUUGCAGAGGGAGAGUUUCCUGAAGCCAGCACUUUGAGGAAAGGAUGAAUUUGAAACCUUUUGGAGGAGAUGAAAAGUAAAAAAAAUAAAAAAAAAAUAAAAAAAUAAAUGCAAGAAACGUGCACUGUGGCAGUCAUCUGGGAAAAAUGUGCGCCUCCAGGACUCACUUCAUCUCACCUUAAGGAGUCAUCAGCAUCAAUUGUGUUGAGUCAGGUCUUCUGGUACAUGUUUCUGCACAGUGACAGCAAGGGUAUCUUCUGUGGUUGGCUUGGCUGAGGCCAUCUGCACUCCAGAUAUGUGAAUUUGGGUAAAUUAACCCUGUUCUGAGCUAAAGCUGGUUUUCGCUCUGCUGUGUUUGGUUCAUUUACUGCCCCUGCUCCCCAUGAUGCUCUCCAGUUUUACAGGACAUUGUCUCCUUGGCAAAAUACAAAUCUGGACAGAUUUGUCAUUAGAUCUGUAAAUUCUGCUAAUUUAGAUAAUAAAUAACAGCACCUAUGUGGCUGACCUGGCCUCCCAGUGCCAAGCAACGCAGGUCUCUGCACCGCGCUCUUUAAGUAUGGAGACCUCCUUCAUAUCAGCCUUUGUGUCAUGUUUGUAUGAUUUAAGAAUUAAUCCAUGUCGUGCCUGGGUCAAAAGUACUGAUAAUAUCAUAAGGUCCUGUGAUUUUCUUAUCUUGUAAGCCUGGGGUGGUUAUUUACGUGCUGGAGUACUUUCAUCUAUGUCUUAUCUAAUGUACUAAGGUUGCUGAGAGAUUACAAAUUCUUUUCUAAA